UGGUUUGUCUUCUCAUCCACAGCAGAGUUCAAAAUGAGCACAGAUUCCCCACAGAGCAAGUGCUAUGAACAAUGCAGCAGAUCAUCUGCCUUUGGAUUUUCUUUCUACUGUCAGGAAGUCUCCUUCUCCAUAUUUAGGAAAAUGGAUGCCUACAGCCACAGAUGCAGAUCCUCCUGGUGGCUACUGUGCCAACUCUCAUUGCAGGUAGCUAGUGAUUUCAAGAGCUGCAGAGUCGAGGCUGAAGUGCUCUGUCUGUGGAACAUAUCUCAGCAUAUGAUGCAUUUUCAGGAAUUCAAGAGGUAUCAAAAGGAGACAAAAUGUAUGUUAGGACUCAGGCAUUCCAUUAUUCCAUUAUUUCCAAGAUGAAGGAGCAAGAGAAUGGAAAUAGAAGAUCACAGGGUUGCGUGAGCAGUGACAAACAGAACACCAUGGGGUAAGUUACUGUGUUAGAUUUUACUAUAAGAGGGAGAAG